UGGGAGAUGAAGGAGCCUU
rnacentral:miRNA from 1 species